GCAAUACAUUGUUUUACUGGGACAAACCCCAAAUGUUUGGAUUUCAGCUUGUUGACUCCAGCACUGACUCCUUUUACUACGCCGGUCCUAACCUUGGCUAUCGUAACGUCCUGUCUUACAAUGCACUCUGGUCAGGAAGCUUUAUGAAGGGGGGCGAUGUCUUCUUUCUACUAAGCUUUGAUGAUAUAUCAAGUCUUCAUAUGAACCGGUCAGAUCUUCCCAAUCCUCGCCUGAAGACUGACUUCCGUCAUUUCUCACAGAGUGACAGAGCAGAUGAAGAGAUGUGCUUGAACCAACUGGGCAGGACUGCAUCAUCAUCAACAACAUCAGCUACUGAGGCAGUAACCUCAUCUAUAACAGUAACAUCAUCUAUAACCAGAGGCAUCACUGGGACUCAGGCAGUAACAUCAUCUGCAGCCAGUUUAUUCACAGAUGUCGUACUUCUCCUUCUGGUUUUCCUUAUGGCCUUGCUACUACCCUGCUGACCCAUGUUCUGAGACCACAGAGAAACUCAGAACACAUGCAGCCAGGGAUAAAACACUGGCUUUUGUUUUCUUUGUUUGAGCUAUAUGAGAGUUUGAGGUAUAUUACAGUGUAAUGUCAAAUCUGGUGUUUUACUGUCUUUGCUUCAUAGACAUGAACAUGUUAGAUCACAAAUCUUCCAAAGGGUUGUUGUGAAAUCAUGGACAAUCAUGUUAGUCAUGGAAUGAAGUGAAGCAUCAGUCGGCAAUUCUUUUUAGUGACUGGAUUUGUUCUGAAACCUCUUGAUGAGAAUCAUUAGAGGGCUCUAGAACUGUGUAGGACUAGCAAACAGACAGCUUCAUGAUGUGGAAACUGAGGUUUGGUUGGUCAGAAGUCACAUGCUUGUCACGCUCAGACAAGAUAGGGUCUCUCCAUGACAAUUGUUCUCACAGAAAUGUCACUGAUGCGAUCACUGCAGAUGCAUUCCAUGUCUACACAUAAUUGUGCAGAUACAGAAAAGCUGGAAAAACCUGCUGAACUCAGGGUCAUGAGACAUCUGAAGAACUUAACAUUAGCAAAUAUAUUUGGAAUGGACAAAAUGUUCCUCGUUGUGAAUCAUGUAUAAGAAAAUGCUGACGUUAUAAUAAACGUGAUAUUAUUAAGAAUUUGAUGAGAUUGUGUUGGCGAUAUGUUUAAUUGAAGUUGAAAGGUCAAGAUUGGGAACAUGGUUAAGUGAAGAUUUUAUAGUUAAUUGUGUUUUUUAUACUUUUAAAACCCUGGAUCAGUAUCAUUUUAUUUUAAAAUGUUUUUUUUGUUUUGUUUUUAAGACCUAUAUAAUCAUCUAUAAACAGCAUAAGAGUAGUUUAAUGGUCACUUAAAACCUUUUAAAAAAUCUAUUAA